AUUGAACGCUGGCGGCAUGCUUUACACAUGCAAGUCGAACGGUAGAGGGGGCAACCCCUUGAGAGUGGCGAACGGGUGAGUAAUGCAUCGGAACGUGCCCAGUCGUGGGGGAUAACGCAGCGAAAGCUGUGCUAAUACCGCAUACGAUGCCUGGAUGAAAGCGGGGGACCGAAAGGCCUUGCGAGAUUGGAGCGGCCGAUGUCAGAUUAGGUAGUUGGUGGGGUAAAGGCUCACCAAGCCAACGAUCUGUAGCUGGUCUGAGAGGACGACCAGCCACACUGGGACUGAGACACGGCCCAGACUCCUACGGGAGGCAGCAGUGGGGAAUUUUGGACAAUGGGCGCAAGCCUGAUCCAGCAAUGCCGCGUGCAGGAAGAAGGCCUUCGGGUUGUAAACUGCUUUUGUACGGAACGAAAAGGUCUGGGUUAAUACCCUGGGCACAUGACGGUACCGUAAGAAUAAGCACCGGCUAACUACGUGCCAGCCGCCGCGGUAA
rnacentral:rRNA from 1 species